rnacentral:rRNA from 1 species
GACGAACGCUGGCGGCGUGCUUAACACAUGCAAGUCGAACGGAAAGGCCCUGCUUUUGUGUGGUGCUCGAGUGGCGAACGGGUGAGUAACACGUGAGUAACCUGCCCUUGACUUUGGGAUAACUUCAGUAAACUGGGGCUAGUACCGGAUAGGAGCUCCUGCUGCAUGGUGGGGUUUGGAAAGUUUCGGCGGUUGGGGAUGGACUCGCGGCUUAUCAGCUUGUUGGUGGGGUAGUGGCUUACCAAGGCUUUGACGGGUAGCCGGCCUGAGAGGGUGACCGGCCACAUUGGGACUGAGAUACGGACCAGACUGCUACGGGAGGCAGCAGUGGGGAAUAUUGCACAAUGGGCGGAAGCCUGAUGCAGAAACGCCGCGUGCGGGAUGAAGGCCUUAGGGUUGGAAACCGCUUUAGCCUGUGACGAAGCGUGAGUGACGGUAAUGGGUAAAGAAGCACCGGCUAACUACGUG